rnacentral:misc_RNA from 1 species
AUAUAUCAAUCAACCUUCUCUUGUUGAGCGGUUUGGAUGUGGGGGGUUUUGCUGGCCAGCCUCUUAAAAGGUUUCAUUCAGCUCUCCUGAAAUGCAUUAGCGGAAACAACCUCUGUUCAUUGGUGUGAUAACUAUCUACGCUAUUGAAAGUGAAGGGAAGUUUGGCUUUCUAACGGUCCUUGGACAAAGCUCAUCAUUA